UAAGUGAAAAGGCUUAAAUAUAGUUAAGGGACGAWGGAUAACAGCGUUAUUCUUUUUGAGAGUUCUUAUCGAAAAAAGAGUUUGCGACCUCGAUGUUGAAUUAAAAUAUCUCUAUGGUGCAGAAAUCAUAAGAGAAGGUCUGUUCGACCUUUAAAUUUUUACAUGAUUUGAGUUCA
rnacentral:rRNA from 1 species